GAUGAACGCUGGCGGUGUGCCUAAUACAUGCAAGUCGAGCGAACAGACGAGGAGCUUACUCCUCUGACGUUAGCGGCGGACGGGUGAGUAACACGUGGAUAACCUACCUAUAAGACUGGGAUAACUUCGGGAAACCGGAGCUAAUACCGGAUAACAUGUUGAACCGCAUGGUUCAACAGUGAAAGACGGUCUUGCUGUCACUUAUAGAUGGAUCCGCGUCGCAUUAGCUAGUUGGUAAGGUAACGGCUUACCAAGGCAACGAUGCGUAGCCGACCUGAGAGGGUGAUCGGCCACACUGGAACUGAGACACGGUCCAGACUCCUACGGGAGGCAGCAGUAGGGAAUCUUCCGCAAUGGGCGAAAGCCUGACGGGGCAACGCCGCGUGAGUGAAGAGGGUCUUCGGAUCGUAAAACUCUGUUAUUAGGGAAGAACAAAUGUGUAAGUAACUAUGGACGUCCUGACGGUACCUAAUCAGAAAGCCACGGCUAACUACGUG
rnacentral:rRNA from 1 species